GUGUCAGCAGCCGCGGUAAUACGUAGGUGGCAAGCGUUGUCCGGAAUUACUGGGUGUAAAGGGCGUGUAGGCGGGUUAUUAAGUCAGAUGUGAAAUUCUUGGGCUCAACCCAAGCGCUGCAUCUGAAACUGAUGAUCUUGAGUACUGGAGAGGGAAGCGGAAUUCCUAGUGUAGCGGUGAAAUGCGUAGAUAUUAGGAGGAACACCAGUGGCGAAGGCGGCUUUCUGGACAGUAACUGACGCUGAGGCGCGAAAGCGUGGGGAGCAAACAGGAUUAGAAACCCUCGUAGUCC
rnacentral:rRNA from 1 species